UGUGUGUGACCUCAAUCAACACACGACCGAAGUGCCAAAUCGCAUAAGAGCGCAUAACCACACUUUUUACAAUUCAAAACAUAUCCACUUUCAAGCUCACUCUAGCCGAGAAAGUAGCAUAGGAAGAAUUCCAACAUUUAUAUUAUGAACAGUGUAUAUAUAUAUAUACAUACACGCAAUUUCAACCAGCUCAGAUUUCUAAUAAGAUAUUUAAUUAAGUUCAAAGUGAAGAUUCAGAUCUAUAUAAUUUGUACAGGUCAGUACCUCAUUCCAAAUAUCAAUAUACUUGUUUAAAACAGAACAAAAUGAUCUCCUCAUACACCAUGCCAACAACAUCAGAAUUUCGCCAACUAUAUGCGUAUUUCAACACAAUAAUUCAUCAAGGAAUCAUGUUGGUUAUAUCUAUUAAGCGCAGAAGCAACUAACUUUUGAAUUCGAGUUCAUAUCAAUAUAAAUUUCAGCAUGAACAAAACAAAUUAACAUACUUCUCCAAUCAUAGAUUCCGGCAGCGACAAAAUAAACAAGAAAUUGAAUUCAGAAUACCCAAUAUCGCAACUAAAACAAAUUAAAUUGAUACCCACAGCAGCAAAACAAUUUAAGUAAAGGAUUCGAUUUAAAUCUAACAUAAAUCUACCCCAAGUGUUAAGAAGAGGGAGUGGGAUGUUACUUGCCUCAAUUUCUUGCAAAACCCCUACUCACAAACAAGGAUUCCAAGCUUUAACUUAUAAUUUUCUGCCCACCCAAUUCUCUGUUUCCUUAUCUCCCUUUCACCAAGUUUCUCUAAGUUUUUGCUAGCAAAGUGAAGAGAAAGCUGGUUCUAGUGAUAAGAUGAAUGUUCUAGUUGAAUCUGAUUGUAGAUGUUCUUAGUGGGCUUCAAACAAUGAAUACUUAAACCCCCAGCCCAACUAUAACCCAUAUAACAGAAAUCUAUACAUAUAUAUACAUACAUAACAAGCCCAACUAAUGCANNNNNNNNNNNNNNNNNNNNNNNNNNNNNNNNNNNNNNNNNNNNNNNNNNNNNNNNNNNNNNNNNNNNNNNNNNNNNNNNNNNNNNNNNNNNNNNNNNNNNNNNNNNNNNNNNNNNNNNNNNNNNNCUCAAAAAGAUAAGGGUAUGAUGCUCUAACAUCUUCUUCACGUUCCCAAGACGCUUCCUUCUCAUUAUGGUGACUCCAUAGCACUUUUACUAAACGGAUAGUGCGGUUGCGCAAAGGAUGUUCCUUACUCUCAAGGAUAUGAAUUGGCUUCUCAUCAUAGCUAGCAUUAACUCUUCAAGAUUCACAAACUUGGUUCUUUCUUCUUUCUUCAAAGUUUCCUCUUCUUGGCAUAGAGUCUUUGGUUUCUUUAACAUGGAGACGUGAAAUACAUUAUGCAUACCUGCCAGUUUUUCGGGCAAAUCUAACCGGUAAGCAACUGGACCAAUCCUAUCUAGUAUUCGAAAAGGUCCCACAUAUCUAGGAGCAAGCUUUCCCUUUUUCCCAAAACGUUUCACCCCUUUCAUAGGUGAUACCCGAAGUAAUACUUCAUCAUUCUUUUGAAAUUCUAAACCCCGAUGAUGUUUAUCUGCAUAACUCUUCUGUCGACUUUGGGCAGUACGAAUCCUAUCUCGAAUCAUAGGAACAUACGCAGCAGUUUUAUGAGCCAACUCUGGUCCUAACAAAGCUCUUUCACCAACCUCAUCCCAACACAUUGGCGAUCUGCAAGGCCUGCCAUACAAGGCUUCAAAAGGUGCCAUGCCGAUAGUUGAUUGAUAGCUAUUGUUGUAAGCGAAUUCAACCAAAGGUAAAUGAUCUUCCCAACUACCUUUGAAGUUAAGAAUGCACGCUCGAAGCAUAUCUUCUAAUAUCUGAUUGACCCUUUCAGUCUGGCCAUCUGUUUGUGGAUGGAACGUUGUGCUGAAAUUCAACGAUGUACCCAUUGCCUUCUGAAAACUCCGCCAAAAGCGAGAAGUAAACUGACUAUCUCGAUCGGAUACAAUAGAUACAGGUACUCCAUGCAGCUUAACAACUUCUUUGAUGUAUUUAGCGCACAACACAUCUAUACCAUGAGUUCUCUUCACUGGGAGGAAAUGAGCUGAUUUUGUGAGUCUAUCAACAAUUACCCAGAUAGUAUUAUUACCUUGGGAAGUUCGAGGUAAACCUUCCACAAAAUCCAUGGUAAUAUGUUCCCACUUCCAUUCAGCUACUGGUAAUGGCUGUAAUGGUCCCGCAGGUUUCUGAUGUUCGGCCUUGACUUGUUGACAAGUGAAGCAUUUAGAGACAUAGUCUGCAAUGUCAUACUUCAUCCCGUUCCACCAAAACGUGCGUUUCAGGUCUUUGUACAUUUUCGUACUUCCAGGGUGUACUGUAUACCUCGAGCGAUGAGCUUCCUCUAAAAUUUCAUUCUUCAAGUUAGCGACAUCAGGAACAACCAGUCGUUGUUGGAACCUUACACCACCAUCCGUACCAAUAGAGAAAUCAGAAUUGUCUUUGUCUGGAACUUCGGCAAUCCUGGCCUGCACCCAAGUAUCUAAUUUCUGCUCCUCAAUGAUCCUGGAAAUUAAAGUGGGUUGUGCAAUCAUUGCCCCCAAGUAUGCAGUAUACUUCUCCGUAUUGGGAUGUAUAUCAAAAUCAACCAGUGUAUCAACCAUAGUCCACCAACUGGUCAUCACGAAAGCUACUGUGGUGUGGGAUUUUCUGCUUAGUGCAUCCGCUACUACAUUGGCCUUUCCCGGGUGAUAUUGAAGAGAUAAAUGAUAAUCUUUUAUGAGCUCAAGCCAUCUUCUUUGUCUCAUAUUCAGAUCUCUUUGUGAGAACAAAUAUUUCAAGCUCUUGUGAUCAGUAAAUAUUUCAAAACUUUCACCCAUCAAGUAAUGUCUCCACAAUCGAAGAGCAAAGACAACCGCCGCCAAUUCUAGAUCAUGUGUCGGGUAAUUUUUCUCAUGAGUUCUCAAUUGUCGUGAGGCAUAAGCUACCACCCGGUCACGCUGCAUUAAAACACCUCCUAAACCCUGGUGUGAUGCAUCCGUAUAAAUCACAUAUCCAACUCCGCUUUCAGGAAGUAUUAAAACUGGUGAAGUAGUUAACUUGGUCUUCAAUUCAUUGAAAGAUCUUUGACACUGAUCAGUCCAAACAAAUGAAAUACCCUUGCGAGUCAGCUGUGUCAUAGGAGCAGCAAUACGAGAAAAAUCUUUUAUGAAACGCCGAUAAUAACCUGCUAACCCCAGGAAGCUUCGUAUCUCUGUAACUGAUUUAGGCGGUACCCAAUUUAAUACUGCAUCCACUUUAGAGGGAUCUACCGAUACACCUCCUUCAGAUACUACAUGCCCCAGAAAUUUAACUUCCUCGAGCAAAAAUCCACAUUUCUCAAACUUAGCAUACAACUGAUGUUCUUGAAGUGUUUGGAGUGUGAUCCUUAAAUGGUCAGCAUGUUCCUCGCGAGUUCUUGAAUAAACCAAAAUAUCAUCUAUAAAGACAAUUAUGAACUGAUCUAAGAAUCCUCUAAACACACGGUUCAUAAGAUCCAUGAAAAAUGCAGGGGCAUUAGUCAAUCCAAACGGCAUUACUAGAUACUCAUAUGAUCCAUAACGUGUCACAAAAGCAGUCUUAGGCACAUCUGCUUCUCGAACCCUCAACUGAUGAUAACCCGAUCUCAAGUCAAUUUUAGAGAACCAUUGUGCACCCUUGAGUUGGUCAAACAAAUCAUCAAUACGAGGUAAAGGGUAUCUGUUUCGAAUUGUCACCUUGUUUAAUUCUCUGUAAUCAACACAUAGGCGAAGAGAUCCAUCUUUCUUCUUAACAAAGAGAACUGGUGCACCCCAAGGUGAUGUACUUUGUCGAAUAAAACCCUGCUCAAGAAGACCCUGAAUUUGAACUUUCAAUUCUCUAAGUUCUGUAGGUGCCAUACGAUAUGGAGCUCUAGCAAUUGGAGCAACCCCUGGAAUCAGCUCAAUGCUAAACUCAACUUCUCGAUUAGGAGGCAAACCUUUAAUUUCAUUAAACACAUCAGCAUACUCUGCCACAAUGUCAAUUGACGCAAUAUCAUUCUUACCCAUCUCAAGUUCUAUAUGAGCUAAAUAAGCUUCAGCCAAAACAUUCCCCUUUGCAGUCGCAAUAACUAUCGGUUGAUGUCCAGGAAUAUCCAGACGUAAUGUCUUGGCAAUACAUCACAUCAUACCGACGCAUAACGAGCACAAUUAAAUCAUAAGGAAAUUUAAGAUCAUCGAGACUAAUCAUACAUUUCCUACAGAUUUUAUCUGCUACCUUAAUUCCUUCCCCAGCGGGCAGCAAUACAAACAUAGAUUCUAGCAUAUACUCAGGUUGAAUAUCAAGCAUGAGCAUAAAAGCAUGAGAUAUAAAAGAACGAUCAGCUCCAGCAUCAAAUAAUAUUCUGGCGGGUUUAGAAUUGACAAAAAAAAAUACCUUCCAGUAAAGUUCAACUAGCUUCUCCAUCUCGGGACAUUCCGGUAUAAGCACGACCUUGUGGAGGUUCAACAUGAGAUGAUGCAUCUGCCAUUACCCUGUUUCUUCCCACUUGUUCAAUAGCAAACAUCUGACCAUGUCGUUUAUCUGGUGCACGAUCAGCUGGUCCCUUCCAUGAUCCUUGAGAUCCAUAUGAUUUCUGCCCCGAUAUUUUCUGCUCAUUCAUUUUCUGUUCAUACGGUUUGCCUUCUGAUUUUCCCUGAUCUGUUUUCACCCAAUUUCUUUCCGGAACUUUGCAUUCAAAAGCUUUAUGUCCGACCUUGCCACAAGUGAAACAAUUCCCCAGAAACUUAUUGCGCUUUGUUCCAUCUGUAGAGGCAGUAGAAGAGGAGCUACUGUUUUGCUUCUUAUAGGGAGGUUGUGAUGUUUCUGGUCGUGAAUGUUGCGCCUUUUUCCCUUUAGCAUAAUCAUUUGGUCGACCGUGUUCCAUAAAAUCUUGUUCUAGCAAAGUAGCAAGAUCUGAUGCCUGCCUAACUGUAGGGUAAUGGUGGCCUUUAACCAUCCGUCGCAACCCAUCCCUCAAACCUUCUUCAAACUGUCUAGCUUUCUGGAAUUCAUCCAUAUUCAUGUGAGUGGCAAAGCGUGCAAGUCUAGUAAACCGAGUUUCAUACUCUAACACUGUCAUUGUCCCUUGCUUCAAAUUUAUAAAUUCUCUUGCCUUGGCUGCCCUCAAAGAAUGAGGAAAGUACCGCAAAUCAAAACGCCUACAAAAAUCUUCCCAAGUAAUAUCAUGCAGAUUUUCAAUCCUUGUCACUGAUUUCCACCAAAUUGAAGCAUCUCCCAUCAAGCAAAGUGACGCAAGUCGCUGUUUCUGAACCUCAGUAUAACCCAUAGCAUCAAACAAGUUCUCGAUAUCUUCCUUCCAAUCCUCUACUACAGUAACAUCAAAUGAACCACUGAAUCUAGGAGGUUUCAUCUUCAUAAAACCUUCUACCAUUCUUCUCCACGCUUCAUUAUCUUGCACUGCCUGAAAGGCUAUUGGAACUUCUGGGCCAUUUUGUGCUACCUGAUUAACUGGUGGCACUGCAUCCAAGUUAAUAACUGGUGGCGCUUGAGAGGCAUCUCUACCAGCCUCUAAGGCAUCAAGUCUCCGAUUCGCAUAUUCUAACAUUCUAGUAAGGUCUCCAACCCAUGUAGGUACUUGCUCAGGAGCAGGAGGCCCCGAGGUACCCGCUUCUGACGUAGGAUUCUCAUUAUUCACAACCCCAAUUUCCGCUAAACGGACUGUCUUACGAGCUCGAGCUGCUCUCUCUGAAGCAGACAUUCUGAAAUACGAAAAUGAUAAUAAACAGCUGCAUACACAAUUAAACAUAUACAAACACCACAUCCACGAAGCAAAAUAACAUUAGAACGAAUAUAUAACUAAUCGUCCUCACUCAUUUCUAUCUGGUCACCCCUAACCUUAGACGAAUUCUAGGACAUAAACCUACGGCUCUGAUACCAAAUCUGUAACGCCCCAACUCCAUAUAUCCCAGUCGGCCGCUCUGGAACAUAAGGAAUUGUAGCGCCCAUGUUACUUGACCAACCAGGCAAAAGCCCACCUGUUCAAGGAACACGUCAACAGGAAAUAAUACCAUUGCAAAACUCUAGUAAAAAGGAACAAUCUGCUAAAAACCCAAAACCUGGUAUUUGUAUUAAACAAUAAACUGUAUGUAUGUACAAAGAAAAGUUUCUUACACAACUAAGUCAUAAUAAUAUAUAACGAGGUUUCAAAAGGUACAAACUCCUCUGAUAACACUACAAACAAAAAGAACUAUAUACAACCCAAAAAAAUCCCUGCGCUCUCAACACACCUAAGACGGCGCUCGCGACACUACUGAAAGUGAUCUCCUGAAAAAGAUUGUAAACAACAAGGAUGAGCUACAGCUCAGCAAAUAAAAUCCAACUCACUAAACUUAUCACAAAGAAUAGAAAUACACUAGUUUAAACCAAAUUCACCUCAUACCAACAGAUCAUAACAGCCAUUCCAAUUUAUUAGUGCCUUAAUUUAUCUUUAUUUAGUUUGGGGAGUACGUCUGCAUGUACUCAUUACACUGCAGGUACACACAUGUAAAUUUCCCUCCAUAUGCGGAUAGCUGGAGGUACAGUCUAUACGGCCCCACGCAUGGUCACACUCCCAUCACCCGCAAGUGACUGGUACUGCCAUUGUAUAGACCCAUGUGCUAGUCACUUCCUCCCAAGCUUGUAUUAAAUGUGUGUGGAAACAUCCACCACACGGCCGAAGCCCCCAUUUCAUAAAGGUGUGUGUGACCUCAAUCAACACACGACCGAAGUGCCAAAUCGCAUAAGAGCGCAUAACCACACUUUUUACAAUUCAAAACAUAUCCACUUUCAAGCUCACUCUAGCCGAGAAAGUAGCAUAGGAAGAAUUCCAACAUUUAUAUUAUGAACAGUGUAUAUAUAUAUAUAUAUACAUACACGCAAUUUCAACCAGCUCAGAUUUCUAAUAAGAUAUUUAAUUAAGUUCAAAGUGAAGAUUCAGAUCUAUAUAAUUUGUACAGGUCAGUACCUCAUUCCAAAUAUCAAUAUACUUGUUUAAAACAGAACAAAAUGAUCUCCUCAUACACCAUGCCAACAACAUCAGAAUUUCGCCAACUAUAUGCGUAUUUCAACACAAUAAUUCAUCAAGGAAUCAUGUUGGUUAUAUCUAUUAAGCGCAGAAGCAACUAACUUUUGAAUUCGAGUUCAUAUCAAUAUAAAUUUCAGCAUGAACAAAACAAAUUAACAUACUUCUCCAAUCAUAGAUUCCGGCAGCGACAAAAUAAACAAGAAAUUGAAUUCAGAAUACCCAAUAUCGCAACUAAAACAAAUUAAAUUGAUACCCACAGCAGCAAAACAAUUUAAGUAAAGGAUUCGAUUUAAAUCUAACAUAAAUCUACCCCAAGUGUUAAGAAGAG
rnacentral:lncRNA from 1 species